rnacentral:lncRNA from 1 species
GAUGUUCUUCAUGGAUGGCGUCGUGGAUUCGGUGGGAUCGAAGGCGGUUCAAAGAUUCGGAUCGUGAGCUCGUGGAUUCGAGUGGCGUUCGUAAAUUCGGACGUGUGUGAGGUUGUAACAUACUGAACUUCUAAAGUUAUGAAAUUACGGUGUAUGUUAGUUUGGAAAACCAUUUGAAUGGUUCCGGCGAAGUUCAGGAGCAUUCGGGCGUUUUCGGUACGCGUCGGGCGCAAA